rnacentral:rRNA from 1 species
CACGGAGUUAGCCGAUCCUUAUUCUUACGGUACCGUCAAGCUCCGACACGUCGGAGUGUUUCUUCCCGUACAAAAGCAGUUUACAAUCCAUAGGACCGUCAUCCUGCACGCGGCAUGGCUGGUUCAGGCUUGCGCCCAUUGACCAAUAUUCCUCACUG